rnacentral:lncRNA from 1 species
GGGGAAUGGCAUCCAGGUGGGUGGAGAAAUGUGAGCAGUCACUGAGGUGACAGCAUGAAGGGAGAGCUGACCAGCCAGAAGCCUGGGUUGCUUCCAAGGACACUCCUUAGUAAACAUCCUGUACACUAAACUCCAUCUUGGGGUUCUUCUCAGAGAACCCAAACUGUGACACCAUCAUGUGCUCAAGAGGAGGAGGGCUGGAAAUAUCUCCUGUGGAUCACUGAGGACCACCUUACUCACUAAAGUGAGCACGGGAGCACAUACACAUUUUAGACAAAGUCUAAAAUCAGCGCAAUGAUAAUAGCUGAUAUUUACUGAGCACUGACCUGCCAUAUGCUGUACUAAAACAUGUUGCCUGGAUUAGCUCACUGAAUCCUCAGAAUACCCUAUGUAUUAGACCAGGGGAUUAGACCAGGGGAUGGCAAGCUACAGCCUGUAAACCAAAUCUGCCCAUGCUCAUUCCUUUCUGUAUUGUCUAUGCUACUUUCAUGCUACAAUGGCAAAGUUGAGUAGUUGCGACAGAGACCAUAUGGCCUGCAAAGUUGAAAAUAUUUACUCUCUGGCCUUUUCAGAAAAAACUUGCUGAACCUGUGUUAGGUAUUGUUCCUAUUUGAUAAGGAAAUAGAAGCUUAGAGAUGUACAUAGUUCAGUAAAUUACAGAAUGCUGUUUUUUGGUUACAAAGGCAAAUGUCUAUAGAGUGGCCCUCUUCUGUGAAGGCAGGUGCAGAACCCUCCCAUGCCACUUAGGGGCCUUUGUAAGUGCUCAGUGGAUAAAUAUGAAGGACUCUCUUCCCUUCCUUUCCUCCCACCAUCCUCCUUUGUAAAAUUCAGUCUCCUCUUCCAUCUCUGCUUUUAAUCUCCCCCCAGCCUGAUUCUGUCCUCUGAAGGCAGGAUCAUCUGAAAUAGUGACCAUAUGACCUCUCUCCAGCAAGUGAAGAACACAAAAGACUCAACCAUUUUUGGGAUCUUUGACUUUAAAACCCCUGGUGGAAGUUUCAUUUUUCCAGUAAUGGCUACCAGAUGAGUUAGGGCAGUAGAUGUGUAGAGGCUGAGCUGGCUACCAGGAAACACUUCAUGAUGACUAAGAAAUGAUUUUUUGUGCUUAACCAUAAAGUGACAAAAUAAAAUGGCAGCCUUGACAGACCCCUUAGAAUCUGAAGCUGAGAUUAUCUAUUUGCAACUGCCUCCAGCUGAGAAGCGGUUCCCAGGACAGCACUGAGGAACUCAAAAACGUUCCCUCAUAAAAGUGAUUGUUCAAGGGGGAUUCAAGAGUUUAGUUCCUUAAUGCCUAGUCAGCUGCUUCUUAGAUUCAUGCAGAACAAGAGCCAAGGGCUCCAGGUUUACUUCCACACUUAGGAGCAGAACUAAGAACUGAUCUCAGGUUGUUUGACACCAAAGUGUGUGCCCUUAACCGUACCUUCUACUCCUUCCUGGCAUGCAAAUAUCCAGGAUUAUGAAAUUACAUUUUACAGAUGCGGUUAUAUGUGCUCAUAUGGAUUUUCUGCCAACGAUUUUCUAGCAAUUGGCUGCAGGAGGACUGUGGGAAGAGAUCCCACCUAUCCAUCUCUUUAUCCCAUGCCUUCUAAAGAUAAUUUCUCCAACUUUCACUGAGAAUCCUUGGAUCUAGUCAGGAAUAUUAGACCCCUAAGCAAAAAUUUCUAAAAUCCUUUCCCCUUUCUUAGUUAAUUAAAAAAAAAAAAUUGGCCCUCAAAAGUGACUAGUGAAUGAGUGAGUGAGUCAGUGAUUGAAUGAAUGAAUCUCUCUCCAGACCCCUGACAACUUAAGGAUCUUGGGCAAAGUCUGUGCUCAUGAUGAAAAAAAGGUAGUUGGAAGGUUUUCUAUUGCAGGCCACCCGCAGCAGUUAGCCAUCCAGAGGGAGAGAGUCAUUCACUCAACAAACGCAACUAUUUAUAUGACUGGCACACUGUGGUAGGCCUGGGGGAUAUGACGAAGGCCUCUGCUCUCCACACAGGCCCCCAGGGACGACGUGGAGGCAUGGAAGUCAGUGUGGGCGCAGGCAGAUUCACCCGGGGCUGUGGCCAGUUACUUGUAUGUAGGGAAGAAAACAGGAGGAAAUGGAAAGAUGGAAGAUGCUCUUUCUAGUAAUCGAAAUGGAAGUGUAACAUCCAGGUUGUGGAUUGGAAAGAGUUAAGUGGAAAGUUCUUGCCCAGCUGGCAGAUGUAACCUGAUCCCUCUCUGCAGUAGCCUGGGCUUUAAAACCAGGAAACCUGGAGGAAUCACAGACACUGGGCUGGUUUUACUGGUCUCCCCUCACUGUUUAGAAAGCCAGGCCUCUCCUUGCAUAGCUGUUGUUCCUUUGGUGGUGUGAGUUACUUCUCUAUAUUGCUCUGUUCAUCCAUAUUAUGUGGGUUUUUACUAGUUGCAUUCUCAGAGUAUGUCCUGGUCUCCAGUAAUGGGGUAAUUUGAAAGGCAACAAAAAAAGAGAUGUUAUAAAAGCAUUGACUAUUUUAAUGAUAUAACUCUGGCAAUGUAACAGUUUUCAGACACAAAUAUGAUAAAAUUCGUUCUACAGAACUUUCCAAACCAUUAACUCAGAGGUAGGAAACGUUUUUUUCUACAAAGGGUCAUUGCCUGAUUCAGUUAAAGCAACUUAAUUUAGGUUGGGGGAGAAUUUGGGCAAACCCCAUGGCUCAGCAGAACCCUGCCUGCAAACAGCUAAAGACAAGCCACUACAUUGUAACCAAACCUCAACUAUUAUUAACCACGACUAGGCUUAAUUCUGGUUUAUCUUACUAGGACCAAGAAGAAAAAAAGGUUUCACCCACAAGCAACAUUCUAUGUUUAUUACAAAGCAUGUAUUUCGUGCUUAUUAUCAGGGGUGGAUGAUGAAAGCUCCAAGAGUUAGGAAGAGAGGGUAAACUGAGGUUUUAGGUGGUUUAGGGUGGUCUGAAGAGCUUCAUGGACGUAAAGGAUCUUGAGGGCUAUUUCGAAGGAGGAGGAGGGCUUGCUUAGUUGAGGAGGUGAGGGUAUUUGAGGAGAGAGAUGUGACAGGAAGCUACAGGCAGGAAUAUGUGUUCUGUUUCUUCAGACCGGCGGCUGAUCAGAGUCUUUUUUUUUCUUUCAAAGAGAAAGAAUAAAAAUAGGUAGAUAAAUGUAGUUGGAACAGAAAGCUCAUUUGGGGGAGUAGCCAAAGAUGAGGCUGAAAAAGUGAGAAGGAGGCCAUGUGUGACAGACCUUGGGGCUUAGACAACCAGACAGGCUGGCUAGGCCCUGAUACGUAGAGGGGGUGUAGUAACCUCUCGUGUUUUCUUUUCUUUAGGCUUCUUUAUUCACUAUAUGAUAUCUUCCUCAGGUUGGUAGGAGGCAGAGAGAAUAUUUGGAAAAAAAAUAAUUACAAUCAUAUUAAACCCAGGCAGGGUCAUGUUCUCGUGCCAUUGGGUGAAAAUUCUAAUGUAGACAAGAGAAAUAACAAUUACUGAUGCCCUAAAACUUAAAUAAAGAAGCAAUUCCAGCUAUUCAACAACCUGGGAAGCACUGAAGCUGAAGCAAAGCACGAGGUUCCUCUUAAAAUCGGAUCAAGAUUUAUAAGGAGCUGUAUCUGAGUGGAGAGAACAUUACUCUGCUGGCCCACCGGGCACUCAACUAACCUUGCAGGUGUCUGGGCAUCUUUGAACUUAAAUUUAAGCAGGGAAAUUAGGAACAUUUCCAUUGACCGAAUGGAAGGUCAAAGAAUUGUUUUAACUCAGAUACCAAAGUGAAUUGCAAAUAAUUGGGGGCCUUUUUGUGAUCAAAAGGCAAGCGUUUCAUAGCUUACUUUGCAGAGGUGCAUCUCAGUUCAGUGGACAUCCAAGUAUUUUCCAAGAUGCAAACUCCUUGAGAGUAAGAACGUAUUUCCUUUAUGCCCUCUUGAAUGCUGACCAGACAAUGGCCCAAUGAGGUUUGGCGGGUGUGAACGACAAGUGUAAAUAAAAUUGUAUUGAUAGCUAGUUAAUUAUUAUGUAGUUUCAUGUUUAAUAUUCAAAAAUUCUGAAUAAAUUGGUAUGAAAAAACCUCAAUGAAAGAUAAAUUAAUGAACAGAUUUUGGUUAGCUGCAGACAGAGAGGCAUUUUGUUGUGUUCAGCAGCCACCAUUGUG